CCUACGGGCGGCUGCAGUGGGGAAUAUUGCGCAAUGGGCGAAAGCCUGACGCAGCGACGCCGCGUGAGGGAUGAAGGUCUUCGGAUUGUAAAACUCUGUCAGCAGGGAAGCACGGUCACUGUGCUAAUCAGCAGUGAAUUGACCGUACCUGCAAAGGAAGCACCGGCUCACUCCGUGCCAGCAGCCGCGGUAAUACGGAGGGUGCGAGCGUUAAUCGGAAUUACUGGGCGUAAAGCGCUCGUAGGCGGUAUGUCAAGUCAAGGGUGAAAUCCCCGCGCUCAACGUGGGAACUGCCUUUGAAACUGGCAAACUGGAGUGUGUGAGAGGAAAGUGGAAUUCCAGGUGUAGGAGUGAAAUCCGUAGAUAUCUGGAGGAACAUCAGUGGCGAAGGCGACUAUCUGGCACAUAACUGACGCUGAGGAGCGAAAGCGUGGGUAGCAAACAGGAUUAGAUACCCCAGUAGUC
rnacentral:rRNA from 1 species